rnacentral:rRNA from 1 species
GACGAACGCUGGCGGCGUGCUUAACACAUGCAAGUCGAACGGAAAGGCCCUGCUUGCAGGGUACUCGAGUGGCGAACGGGUGAGUAACACGUGGGUGAUCUGCCCUGCACUUCGGGAUAAGCCUGGGAGACUGGGUCUAAUACCGGAUAGGAGCCAUUUUUAGUGUGAUGGUUGGAAAGUUUUUUCGGUGUAGGAUGAGCUCGCGGCCUAUCAGCUUGUUGGUGGGGUAAUGGCCUACCAAGGCGGCGACGGGUAGCCGGCCUGAGAGGGUGGACGGCCACAUUGGGACUGAGAUACGGCCCAGACUCCGACGGGAGGCAGCAGUGGGGAAUAUUGCACAAUGGGCGCAAGCCUGAUGCAGCGACGCCGCGGGGGGGAUGACGGCCUUCGGGUUGUAAACCACUUUCGCUAGGGACGAAGCUUUUUGUGACGGUACCUAGAUAAGAAGCACCGGCUAACUACGUG